rnacentral:rRNA from 1 species
AACGAACGCUGGCGGCAUGCCUAACACAUGCAAGUCGAACGAGACCUUCGGGUCUAGUGGCGCACGGGUGCGUAACGCGUGGGAACCUGCCCUUAGGUUCGGAAUAACUCCCCGAAAGGGGUGCUAAUACCGGAUAAUGUCUUCGGACCAAAGAUUUAUCGCCUUUGGAUGAGCCCGCGUUGGAUUAGCUAGUUGGUAGGGUAAAAGCCUACCAAGGCGACGAUCCAUAGCUGGUCUGAGAGGAUGAUCAGCCACACUGGGACUGAGACACGGCCCAGACUCCUACGGGAGGCAGCAGUGGGGAAUAUUGGACAAUGGGCGAAAGCCUGAUCCAGCAAUGCCGCGUGAGUGAUGAAGGCCUUAGGGUUGUAAAGCUCUUUUACCCGGGAUGAUAAUGACAGUACCGGGAGGAUAAGCUCCGGCUAACUCCGUG